rnacentral:lncRNA from 10 species
AUUUAUCUUUUCUAUUAAAGAUUAAUACCUUGAAAUGUCAAAAUAGCAUAGACUUGAGAAAAAUUUAAGCCUUGUAGAGUUACUCUGUAUACUUACCUAUAACAAGCCUCUAGUGUGCUGGCAGAAUGCAGUGUGCAGAUGAAGGCUGAGAGAUAAUAUCCCACCUCUUCUGCUUCAGCUUCCCAGAGUGGGUGUGGCUAGUGGAGGGGAGUUCAUACAACUGACAAUAUGCUUGCCCAAUAUUUUCUGGCUAACCCUCAUUUCUCACAAUGACUCUUUGUAGGCUUUUUUGUUGUUGUUGUUUUUCAUUUCACCUCCAGGUAUGAUUUUUAUUUUUGCAAAGAACUGAGGGAUGAAAAGUUUUGCCAGCAGAUAUUUGGUGUUGUGAACACGUAGAAGUGGUCUAAGGAAGUUACUGGCCUAGUCUCUGCUCUAGUGGAGAAACAGACUGCAGAUUGAAUUCCUACAUAGGCUAUUCCAGAAUUCUUACGAGACUUGCAUUAGGACAUCAGCAACAGGUAUCAUCUAGUGAACUGUUCAGAUGCAACUGAAUUGAAAAGGAGCUGAACAAAAGAUCCUGAGAGAGACUUCAACAAAAAGUAAAAUGGAUUUUAUCAUACUUGAAAAAUCAACAAUUGCAGUCUGGAUUCAUACAUCACUGUCUGAUGCACCCAACUUGAGUCAAAAAGAUGUUUCAAAUCCCACUAGGCUGGAGGCAAAAAUACUCAAGAGUUUAAGAGCGUCUCUUGACAGUGUACAGAAUAAGAUAGCUUCUCAGCUUUCAGCUUUACUUCACGGUUUUAACUAUCAAAAGAAGCAAGCCAUCUGAAGAUUUGCCUGAGACUGAAGGAUCCACUUCUGCGACGACUCCCUCAGGACUUAUAAUGCAGAUGGAACCAGAUUGAGAAAAACCAGCCAACCAACCAACCAACAUGAUGGCUGAACCAGACAAGAGAAGUCCCGAAGUAAAAUACCCACCAAUUACCAGAAUCUGUGCCUGCCAUACAUCGAAGAAUCUUGCUCUGUCGCUCAAGCUGGAGUGCAGUGGUGUGAUCUCAGCUCACUGUAAGUUCUGCUGCCCAAGUUGAAGCGAUUCUUCCACCUCAGCAUCCUGAGCAGCUGGGACUACAGGUACACACCACUGCACCUGGCUAAUCUUUAUAUUUUUAGUAGAAGUGGGAUAUCACCAUGUUGGCCAGGCUGGUCUUGAACUCCUGACUUCAAGUGAUCUGCCUGUCUUGGCCUCCCAUACUGCUGGGAUUACAAGUGUGAACCACCAUGCUGGCCUGUGACAUUUUAAUCUAGUCAAUCAGUCUUGGAAAAUAAAGCCUUGCUUUCUGUGGCACCUAAACCAACUGAUAUGGUUUGGCUCUGUGUCCCCACCCAAAUCUCUUCUUGAAUUGUAAUCCCCAUAAUCCCCACGUAUUGAGGGAGGACCUAUAGGGAAGUGAUUGGAUCCUGGGGGCCAUUCCCGCACGCUGUUCUUGUGAUAGUGAAGGAGUUCUCAUGAGAGCUGAUGGUUUUAUAAGUGUUUGGAAGAUACCCCUUCACGGCACUCUCCCUCCUGCUGUCUUGUGAAGAAGGUGCCUUGUUCCCCUUCACCUUCCACCAUGAUUGUAAGUUUCCUGAGGCCUCUCCAGCCAUGUGGAAUGGUGAGUCAAUUAAACCUCUUUCUUUUAAAAAUUACCCAGUCUCAGGUAUUUCUUUAUAGCAGUGCAAAAACUGACUAAUACACCAACCUCUUUGAUAUCAGUUUCAUGUCAAGAAUAAGAAAAAUAAGGAAGAAAAUUGGGAGAUCGACAUAUUGAAAUUUAAAGAAUAGAAUUGGGUUUGAAAAAAAUGUUUUAG